rnacentral:rRNA from 1 species
UACGUAGGGGGCAAGCGUUGUCCGGAUUUAUUGGGCGUAAAGAGCGUGUAGGCGGCCAGGUAGGUCAGCUGUGAAAACUCGAGGCUCAACCUCGAGACGCCGGUUGAAACCAUCUGGCUAGAGUCCGGAAGAGGAGAGUGGAAUUCCUGGUGUAGCGGUGGAAUGCGUAGAGAUCCGGAAGAACACCGGUGGCGAAGGCGGCCUGCUGGGCAGUUGCUGACACUGAGGCGCGACAGCGUGGGGAGCAAACAGG